CCUUGUCUGCAGUUGAAUGUCAGCCCACUAACAUCUUCAAUUUUCAAUACCCUUAGCAGCCUCUGAGUUCUCCAGCUUCACCUGGACUUCCCCUUCUCUAUUUUUAGACACUUCCACCACCUAAUGUAACUGUCCAGCAUCUGACUUCCUUUGACACCUGUCAGAUGCUACCUGUAUUCUGAUUGGCCUUUUGGUCCCCCUCUCUGAGCUUCCUUUCUCACCUGCCCUCCUCAUGCAUUCUGCAUGAACUCUUAUAGGAGGGAGGUUAUCUGUUUUCAGGUACUCAUCCUUCUUUAUGGAGUCAACUAAUGCCAGGUUGAGUCUGCAUUUGUUCACCAACACCAGUGUGUCUACUCAUUACUGCAGCUGCUCCGUCUGUCGCGCUCUCUGUCGAUCUGCAAGCGUUCCCGCAUGAUGGCCACCUUCUCCCUCUCAAGCUGGACCACUUCAGCUGCCUGGGCUGUACUGUCUUCUAAAAAACAAACAACAAUCAUGUCAUAUCCACAAUAAAUUUCAACAAUUUCAGAUACAAA